rnacentral:rRNA from 1 species
CGGUGCGAAAGUGACGCUAAUACCGGAUAAUAUCAUAGAGACCUUGGUUUUUAUGAUCAAAGAUGGCCUCUCCUUGGAAGCUAUUGUUUGGAGAUGAGCCCGCGUCCCAUUAGCUUGUUGGUGGGGUAAUGGCCUACCAAGGCUACGAUGGGUAGCUGGUCUGAGAGGAUGAUCAGCCACACUGGAACUGACACACGGUCCAGACUCCUACGGGAGGCAGCAGUGAGGAAUUUUGCGCAAUGGGGGAAACCCUGACGCAGCAACGCCGCGUGAGUGAUGAAGGCUUUCGGGUCGUAAAGCUCUGUCAAGUGGGAAGAACUCCCGUGAGGUUAAUACCCUCAUGGUUUGACGGUACCACUGAAGGAAGCACCGGCUAACUCCGUGCCAGCAGCCGCGGUAAUACGGGGGGUGCAAGCGUUAUUCGGAUUUACUGGGCGUAAAGCGCGCGUAGGCGGCCGUUUAAGUCAGAUGUGAAAGCCCGGGGCUCAACCCCGGAAGUGCAUUUGAUACUAUUCGGCUUGAGUAUGGGAGAGGGAAGUGGAAUUCCUGGUGUAGAGGUGAAAUUCGUAGAUAUCAGAAGGAACACCGGUGGCGAAGGCGACUUCCUGGACCAAUACUGACGCUGAGGCGCGAAGGCGUGGGUAGCAAACAGGAUUAGAUACCCUGGUAGUCCACGCAGUAAACGGUGAUCACUAGGUGUAGCGGGUAUUGACCCCUGCUGUGCCGCAGCUAACGCAUUAAGUGAUCCGCCUGGGGAGUACGGCCGCAAGGUUAAAACUCAAAGGAAUUGACGGGGGCCCGCACAAGCGGUGGAGCAUGUGGUUUAAUUCGACGCAACGCGAAGAACCUUACCUGGAUUUGACAUCUCGGGAAUUUCUAUGAAAGUAGAAAGUGCCCUUCGGGGAGCCCGAUGACAGGUGCUGCACGGCUGUCGUCAGCUCGUGUCGUGAGAUGUUGGGUUAAGUCCCGCAACGAGCGCAACCCCUAUCUUUAGUUACCAGCACUUCGGGUGGGGACUCUAAAGAUACCGCCCCGGUCAACGGGGAGGAAGGUGGGGAUGACGUCAAGUCCUCAUGGCCUUUAUGUCCAGGGCUACACACGUGCUACAAUGGGCAGUACAGAGGGUCGCGACACUGCGAGGUGGAGCUAAUCCCUUAAAGCUGUUCCAAGUUCGGAUUGGAGUCUGCAACUCGACUCCAUGAAGCUGGAAUCGCUAGUAAUCGCGGACCAGCAUGCCGCGGUGAAUACGUUCCCGGGCCUUGUACACACCGCCCGUCACACCAUGAGAGUUGGUUGUACCCGACGUCGCUGGGCUAACUCAUUAGAGAUGCAGGCGCCUAAGGUAUGGCUGAUGAUUGGGGUGAAGUCGAAACAAGGUA